rnacentral:tRNA from 1 species
GUGGAUAUAGCUCAGUGGGAGAGCACUUGCUUUGCAUGUAAGAGGCCCUGGCUUCAACCCCCAGUGUCUCCA